UACAGAGGGUGCGAGCGUUGUUCGGAAUUACUGGGCGUAAAGCGCGCGUAGGCGGCGUGGUAAGUCUUACUGUGAAAGACCGGAGCUCAACUCCGGGGCUGCAGAGGAUACUGCCAUGCUGGAGACAAGUAGAGGCAGAUGGAAUUCCGGGUGUAGCGGUGGAAUGCGUAGAGAUCCGGAAGAACACCAGAGGCGAAGGCGAUCUGCUGGGCUUGGUCUGACGCUGAGGCGCGAAAGCGUGGGGAGCGAACAGG
rnacentral:rRNA from 1 species